rnacentral:misc_RNA from 1 species
GUUCUGUUGCGUGUGUAUGCCUGCUGAGGUGGUGCAGCUCGCUGAUCUCUUUGCUUUGACCUUUGACGGUCAUCGCACUAGUCCUUAUUUAUAAUUACUAUUUUAUUUUUAGUGUGUGUCUUUUAGGCGUCUACUGCAAGAAAUCCCUAUGCGGAAGAGGACAGUGCUCGUGGCUUGCGGAUCUUUCAAUCCCGUCACGAACAUGCACCUCCGAAUGUUCGAGUUGGCCAGGGACCAUCUCCAGAAUGGCGUCUCUCCACCCGUUGAGGUGAUUGGUGGCCUGAUAUCUCCCGUGAGCGACGCCUACGGCAAGGCGGGCCUGGUGUCUGCGCGACACCGCUGCGCCAUGCUCAACCUGGCCCUUCUCACCAACGACUGGGUCAGGCUGGACACGUGGGAGUGCAGCCAGGAAGGGUGGACAGAGACACGGCGCGUCUUGCAACACCACUUGGAUGCCCUGAGAGAAAGCCACCAGCAGAGGGUCGACGGAGCCCCCCAUAAACGCCGGAGGACGGACAACUUGAACGACGGGAGCUGGCGGGACUCGAUGCCUGUUCUUGCAGAGGCCUCUCCCAUUGGCGUGAUGCUUCUCUGUGGGGCAGACCUCCUCCAGUCGUUCAGCGUACCCGGACUCUGGAAGGACGCCGACAAAGGAUCACCGCAAGCCCUCACGUCUCCUGUUCCCUUCCGACUCGUUCUGAAGAUAGAGCACCUCGUGUCCCAGUUUGGCCUGGUGGUGGUGACACGGUCAGGCUGCGACGCUGCUCGCUUCAUCUACGAGACGGACUGCCUCUACCGUAAUAGGCAUAACAUUCACCUGGUGACGGAAUGGAUGACCAAUGACAUCAGCUCCACAGGAAUCAGGUGAGGCCCGUUCAUGUCAUCUUCUUUCACAUGUUACUCUCACACCCAAGGGUGUUCACACCCAAGGGUGUUCACUAAUUCAGCUCACUGCUACGCUGACAGGGCGGUAGAAGCCGAGCUCGUCGGACUAGUCGUUCGUCGAUCUUUCACUACGCGAUUAUGAUCCUGCCCAUACUCAUGCGCAGAGAGCAGGCUCAGGCGAUGAAAGGCAGGCGGUUCAUUGGUUUAGCAUGUGCAUAGAUCUUACCACUCCAUCAGCUUAUGGGUUAAUGGAGUAUUAAAGUGUCCUCCAGGUAGUCACCAUCCUGCUCUCUUACGGCUUAUAUUAACUAAACAUCUAGAAUGUUGUGCUUGUUCUAGCUUCUCGACCAGCACACACUGUGCUUUUGAAGUUUUCAGUUCCUGCUUGGUGCGUAGCUUAAGUAAUGGCGUUUUUAAUUGUUUUUUUUUUCUUGGGAGGAUAAUAAGUUUUUGUCUAAAAGUGAAGUGUUGGGAAGAUCCAACUUGUUCACCAGCAGUGGAGCUUUUGAAAUGCUCCUUUAAAAGAAUCAAAGUGGAGAAACAUUAGCAAUCUCAAAACGUUGCAGAAAAUGCUUAGCCGACGUUGGAGGUUUAGUCACGGCCAGUGUCGGUUGAGAGCACGGUGCUCUGCAUGCAGACGUGCUUUGGCCCGUGGUGAAAGUGUCAAGUACCUGCUUCAGGACUCGGUGAUCACCUACAUCCAAGAGCACGGUCUUUACAGACCCUCAUCCGUGGAAAACCAGGACGACUCGGACAACGGUCAGGAGACUGCAGUGUAGGCUCCGAAGACAGGGUCACCUCCGUUCACCCGACAGCUACCGCAUUUUACGUUUUACCGACAUUUAGGGCACAUUGUACAAACUGACACCCAUCAUGCAUUUGUCGCAUCGGGGUGCGCAGUGCCAAUUUUAUCCACGUUUGUAUUUUAAUGUUGUGGCACAAUGAUACGCUGUGAUAACGACUGCUCUCCGGUUGGUACUUAAGCGCGGUUCUGUGGUGCUAAGCGGCGACUCCCAAACAACUUUGUGCAGUCAUAUGUAUGGCACUUUACCCAUUUGUCAUUAUUCGGGAUUUAACACGAAGAUGCGACACCAUCUAAGGUCUAAAAGUAGGUGUCUUUUAUUGGUAACUGCGCCAAACGGGCAUCUGGCGGCCAAAGUGCGAAAGCUCGCUGUAGUCGUCGAGAAAGUUUCAGGUUAGGUGGUUACGAAAAUUUGGCCAAAUCAAAUUAUGUGUAACUUGCAAGACGAAGGUAUGCAGGCAAGUUGUUGGCUUGAAUCAAGGCUGUUGACGCUGUUUAUUUGGCUCUAUCGCUUUAAUCAAAUAACCGCUUACACCGAAUUUUUCUGCCACCCCCUUAACUUCGUUAUAACGAGGGAUUACUGUAACUUGCUACAGUGGUCGUUUUAAAUCAGUGCAUCUCUGGUAACUCACCUGUACUGGGAGAGAUGAGGGAAAGUUCUAGUCAUGAAAUGCGAGUACGAUGAAUGCAUCGUAAGGUUGUAUUUUGAAAACAUGAACGUAACUCCAUUCGGUCGUGCAUGCAACAUACAUUAUAAAAUCGGCAGCAUAUUCAAACAUGGUCGGUUUCGUUGAGUUCCUCGGUGCAGUGCAUCGAGUAGGAUCGGGGAGAGAGAAGACAAUGCUAGAUUUGAGGUGCAUUUCACUCUGUGAUGAGAAAAUGCAAUUCGAGUCAGACAAAAGCAGCAUCCUGUAACAUGCCCAGAUAAACAUAUUCUAGAUGCAUAUUGUUGUUUCGAGAAAUAAUGUUGGCUUCUUCAAUAUUGCAGGCUACUACUAAUAAGAUAGUGUAUACAUACAAAUGGAUAAAUGAACCAGUGUUGUGGCUAUUAUUGUACCCUCUUUAAUUGCAGGAUGUACAUACUUACUGCCUCUAAAUAUUCAGGAAUGUUGUACAAGGGCCACGUCCCAGAGCGCCUCUAACUCCAGUGGCAUAGGAGCAACUGAAGACCUUUAUCCAAUAUCAACAACUCCAUCUUUGUAUCUCUAUUUCAGCCUUCAAAAUUCUCCAUAGUAACAUUUCUAACUCCAGUCUGCACGCUUAGCACUUUUAUCAAAUGCUGUAAACGUUAUCUAUGCAUGAACAUUUCAAUUGUGUUUGCUGCACGAGCAUAAUUGAAGCAUUACAAAGCCACACUAAAGGCACAUCCCUCUACAACACGGUUUGAAUGUGUUCAGAUACAAGUCCCGACAAACCCGUGCCUGCAAAAUAUAAAAAAAGAAACAAUUUUUUACAUGUUGUUUGACAGUUGUGCAAAGGAAGCUUUAACUUAAGACCCUUGCGGUCUCUUCUGUGCAAAAGCAAACAUGAUAAGCUAAAAUGUGUGUGAAUAUCUAUGGCCACGUUUUUAUAGAAAAUAAAAUAUGUACAAAAACAUAA